rnacentral:tRNA from 1 species
GGGCCCGUAGCUUAGUCUGGUUAGAGCGCUGGUCUUAUAAACCAGUGGUCGUGGAUUCAAAUUCCAUCGGGCCCA